GACGAACGCUGGCGGCGUGCUUAACACAUGCAAGUCGAGCGGUAAGGCCCUUUCGGGGGUACACGAGCGGCGAACGGGUGAGUAACACGUGGGUGACCUGCCCUCAGCUCUGGGAUAAGCCUGGGAAACUGGGUCUAAUACCGGAUAUGACUCCAUGACGUAUGUUGUGGGGUGGAAAGCCUUGUGCGGCUGAGGAUGGGCCCGCGGCCUAUCAGCUUGUUGGUGGGGUGAUGGCCUACCAAGGCGACGACGGGUAGCCGGCCUGAGAGGACGACCGGCCACACUGGGACUGAGACACGGCCCAGACUCCUACGGGAGGCAGCAGUGGGGAAUCUUGCGCAAUGGGCGAAAGCCUGACGCAGCGACGCCGCGUGAGGGAUGACGGCCU
rnacentral:rRNA from 1 species